CAUUAAUCACGUAAAUUGGUUUCCAAUUUUGAAACCCGUAAACCAAUUCUCCCCUCACACUCAACGCUCAACCCAACUCCCGAACUCAACCCUCACGCUCAACCCAACCCUCAUGCAUCAUCAAGCUAGCAACCAAGCACAAAUCCACUCAGGCUAGCAUAGAUCCACUGUCUCGCCUCUCUUCUACUUCUGGAUCUCAAGAUCUUUUCUCUUUCGGGUUUUGCAUCUGAGGAUCACGUCUCUCUUCGAUUUAUGCAUCUCAAGAUCUCUUCUCUCUCGACUUCUACAUCUCAGAGGACAACGCUAAAGACUUCAUAUCUGGGGGUGGGGUGAAAGUGCUUAUACAUAGACAGCAAUGCCAUUAGUUUGAUAAGUUUCUUCUAUAAUCCAAAUAGAUUUUCGAGUAUAAUUGCAGACGGCUGCUGUAGAUUCCACCGCACAUCUCGCUCCGUCAAAGAAAAGCUCAAGGUUAGCACUCAAAACAGCCUCGAUGCAGAUGCAGUUUUCCUUCAACCUAAUUUAUUAAACUCAUAUCUACUUUCAAAGUACAUGAUUUUUAUGUAAAUAUUUUGUACAUACUUUAAUGAAAUAUGUCAAUUUAAUAGACUGAAUUAUUGCA